rnacentral:misc_RNA from 1 species
GCACGAUCAAGCAAAUUCAUCAUUUGUUCUUCAUAUUUCACAUUUUUUUUCUGUUUAAACGGAGAAAAAUGAAUUGGGUUCAACGGAAAAUUUAUCUCUACAAUGUCACUUUUGGUUUGUACAUGCUCGACUGGUGGGAACGUUGUCUCUUCAAUAUUUUGGUGCUUGUGUUGCUAUGGUUUAUGUGUUACAACGGGUUUCGAUUUGCUUCUGAGCUCUUCAAUAGGCAAAUGUGGUGAAAGUUCAUCAUCUGUGUCCUAUAUGCAUGUUUUGGCAUUUAACUUUUAAAGUUGUGAAAUUGUUUGCUGUGCCAUGGAUAUAGUUGGCUUUGUAUGAAUUCAUAUUACUAGAAAAAUACGUCGUUCUUUUCUUAUUCUUUACCAAUAGAUGAUAUUUAUUGUAAUAGUUCGAACAAUCAAUCAUAAAUUCAAGUUGAAUUUCUUGAUUGUUGUAAGC